AUUGAACGCUAGCGGGAUGCCUUACACAUGCAAGUCGAACGGAGUGGCCAACGGGUGAGUAAUGUAUCGGAACGUGCCCGGUAGCGGGGGAUAACUACGCGAAAGCGUAGCUAAUUACGCAUACUAUUGAAGCGGUCGAGAUUGGAGUAGCUAGUUGGUGGGGUAAGGGCCCACCCAGGCGACGAUCCGUAGCUGGUGUGAGAGGACGACCAGCCACACUGGGACUGAGACACGGUCCAGACUCCUACGGGAGGCAGCAGUGGGGAAUUUUGGACAAUGGGGGAAACCCUGAUCCAGCCAUCCCGCGUGUGCGAUGAAGGCCUUCGGGUUGUAAAGCACUUUUGGCAGGAAAGCGGUACCUGCAGAAUAAGCACCGGCUAACUACGUGCCAGCAGCCGCGGUAAUAC
rnacentral:rRNA from 1 species